rnacentral:piRNA from 1 species
UGACAGCAUACUUUUGAUAGUUCUGUUCUGU